GGGGAUGUAGCUCAGCUGGGAGAGCGCUUGCUUCGCAUGCAAGAGGUCGGGAGUUCGAAUCUCCUCAUCUCCACCA
rnacentral:tRNA from 2 species